GUUGCCGGCGGUGCUGCCCUGGGGGUCUGCUGGCUCUCCGGUUUCCUGGUGCGUCCCAUUAGGGUGAGUUAGGGGGCUAAAAAACGGCUAAUAUUAGCUUGGUGGCGAGGAGCUCGGGACUCACACUUCCAUUCAGGUCGGACUUCAGGCCACGCCCCCCCAUUUACUGCUCUUCUUUAUGGUGUGUGGUGCACAGCUUUCACUUGACUUUCCAAUAUACAGUUAUUUCUGUAAGGAGGUAAAUCGCAAACUUUGUUACAUUAACCACUCAGUGACCAGACCGUUUUUAAAUUUUCUUACCUUUAAGGACCAGGGCUGUUUUUAUACUUUUGCGGUGUUUGUGUUUAGCUGUAAUUUUCCUCUUACUCAUUUACUGUACCCACACAUAUUAUAUACUGUUUUUUUCUCGCCAUUAAAUGGUCUUUCUAAAAAUACCAUUAUUUUCAUCAUAUCAUAUAACUU